GAGAAACCUGGAGGGAGACCCCCAAAACUUCUCAGUUCGCCGACCCCUUGGUCCCAGAGGGAGAGGAGCAUCCCCAAAGAACAUUCAAGUCUGAGCCUCAAGGAGCCUCUGCGACUCGGUGUCUAGAUCCAGGAAAUGGAGAAUGAGCCGUGACUUUGGAUGCUUCACUCUUGUCCAUCAGGCUCGGAAUUGGUGAGCAUCUCCCACAUUACCGUCUCCAACGGAACAAGGUGCCCCAUUGGACAUUUCCUCUGCAUGGACCAGCCAUUCUCCAAAUCUGCCCCCAUGUCACCCCAGCUCCCCAUCGCAGUCACUUCUCACUCCUUGUCCCCUGUCCCCCUGAGUGACAGGACUUUUGCCAGUUAGGUCCUGUCCCUGUUUCUGAUCUUGG
ensembl:lncRNA novel transcript